rnacentral:rRNA from 1 species
CAUGGAAUAAUGAAAUAGGACGGAUUUGGUUCUAUUUUGUUGGUUUCUAGGAUCACCGUAAUGAUUAAUAGGGAUAGUUGGGGGCAUUAGUAUUCAAUUGUCAGAGGUGAAAUUCUUGGAUUUAUUGAAGACUAACUUCUGCGAAAGCAUUUGCCAAGGAUGUUUUCAUUAAUCAAGAACGAAAGUUAGGGGAUCGAAGACGAUCAGAUACCGUCGUAGUCUUAACCAUAAACUAUGCCGACUAGGGAUCGGACGAAGUUAAUUUUUAGAUGACUCGUUCGGCGCCUUACG